rnacentral:rRNA from 1 species
UACGGAGGGCGCAAGCGUUGUUCGGAAUCAUUGGGCGUAAAGCGCGUGUAGGCGGUCUGGUCAGUCGGGUGUGAAAUACCGGAGCUCAACUCCGGAACUGCAUUCGAUACUGCCAGGCUAGAGUCCCGGAGAGGGUAGUGGAAUUCCCGGUGUAGCAGUGAAAUGCGUAGAGAUCGGGAGGAACAUCUGUGGCGAAGGCGACUACCUGGACCAGCACUGACACUGAGGCACGAAAGCGUGGGGAGCAAACAGG